rnacentral:lncRNA from 13 species
GUCUUAUUUACAUGCAAUACUAGAAGUUUUUUUUUUUAGUUAUUAAUAUAGACAAAUAACUUUCAAUCAUAAUACUGUUUAUGACGGUAAAAGGAGCACCCACAGCCUUGGGAAACUGCCGUUGUGGCUUUGCCAGGUGCUGCCCCCUUCUGGCUGCUUUCAUGGGCAGGUGAUGAGUGUCUGCGGCUUUUCCAGACACACAGUGCAAGCUGUUGGCAGAUCUACCUCCCGCUCGGGAGGACAAUGGCCCUCUUCUCAUUAGUCAAUGCCUUAGUGUAGACUCUGUGUGGGAGCUCCAACCCCACAUUUUCCUUUCACACUGUCAUGGCAGAAGUUCUUCAGAAGGACUCCACACCUGCUUCAAACUUCCUGGACAUCCAGGUAUUACCAUAAAUCCUCUAAAAUCUAGGCGGAAGUUUCCAAACCUUAAUUCUUGACUUCUGUACACCCAUAGGCUCAACACCACAUCAUGAAAGCCACCAACACUUGGGGUUUGCGGCUUCCGAAGCAAUGGCUUUAGCUACACCUUGGCCCUAAAAGCUAUGCCUUUUAGUCACAGGGGGAGCUGAGGCAGCUGGGACACAGAAAAUUAUGUCCCUAGGCUGAAAAGAACACGGAGGCUUUGGGCCAGGCCCACAAAACCGUAAUUCCUUUGUAGGCCUCUGGGAGUGUGAUGGGAAGAGCUGUUGUGAAGGUCUCUGACAUGCCCAGGAGACAUUUUUCCCAUUGUCUUAUGCAAAUUUCUGCCUGAGGUCUCCAUAAUUUCUGAUGAGAAUUUGGCUCUUGUUAAGGAUCUUUUGCGCAUGCCUCUUCAGGUAAUAUUUAAGAAACCACAGCUGGGUGCGUGUUUCAUACCUGUUAUCCCAGCAUUUUGGGAGGCCGAGGCAGUGGAUCACCUGAGGUCAGGAGUUCAAGACCAGCCUGGCAGACAUGGUGAAACCCCGUAUCCACUAAAAAUACAAAAAUUACCAGGGCAUGGUGGCGGGUGCCUGUAAUCUCAGCUACUCAGGAGUCUGAGACAGCAGAAUUGCUUGAAUCUGGGAGAUGGAAGUUGUAGUGAGCCGAGAUCUGAGCACUGCACUCCAGCGACAGAGCAAGACUUUGUCUCAAGAAAAAAAAAAAAAAAAGAAGAAACCACGAUGUGACUUUCUGACAAGGCUAAACAAAAUUCAGGUAACUUAUACGAUUUAAUAUCUACAUGAACAGUUUAGAAAACUAACACACAAAAAGUAGUAAGGGACUUAU